rnacentral:rRNA from 1 species
UGCCAGCCGCCGCGGUAAUACAGAGGUCCCAAGCGUUGUUCGGAUUUACUGGGCGUAAAGAGUGCGUAGGCGGUCGAAAAAGUUUGGUGUGAAAUCUUCGGGCUUAACCCGAAAACUGCAUUGAAAACUAUUUGACUAGAGGAUAGGAGAGGAGAUUGGAAUUCUCAGUGUAGCAGUGAAAUGCGUAGAUAUUGAGAGGAACACCAGUUGCGAAGGCGGAUCUCUGGACUACUCCUGACGCUGAGGCACGAAAGCUGGGGGAGCGAAGAGGAUUAGAUA